AGGCCUAACACAUGCAAGUCGAGCGGUAGCACAGAGAGCUUGCUCUCGGGUGACGAGCGGCGGACGGGUGAGUAAUGUCUGGGAAACUGCCUGAUGGAGGGGGAUAACUACUGGAAACGGUAGCUAAUACCGCAUAACGUCUUCGGACCAAAGUGGGGGACCUUCGGGCCUCAUGCCAUCAGAUGUGCCCAGAUGGGAUUAGCUAGCAGGUGAGGUAAUGGCUCACCUGGGCGACGAUCCCUAGCUGGUCUGAGAGGAUGACCAGCCACACUGGAACUGAGACACGGUCCAGACUCCUACGGGAGGCAGCAGUGGGGAAUAUUGCACAAUGGGCGCAAGCCUGAUGCAGCCAUGCCGCGUGUAUGAAGAAGGCCUUCGGGUUGUAAAGUACUUUCAGCGGGGAGGAAGGCGAUAAGGUUAAUAACCUUGUCGAUUGACGUUACCCGCAGAAGAAGCACCGGCUAACUCCGUGCCAGCCGCCGCGGUAAUAAA
rnacentral:rRNA from 1 species